rnacentral:rRNA from 1 species
UACGUAGGGUGCGAGCGUUAAUCGGAAUUACUGGGCGUAAAGCGUGCGCAGGCGGUUUUGUAAGCCAGGGGUGAAAUCCCCGGGCUCAACCUGGGAAUGGCAUUUGGGACUGCAAGGCUGGAGUGCGGCAGAGGAGACUGGAAUUCCCGGUGUAGCAGUGAAAUGCGUAGAGAUCGGGAGGAACACCAGUGGCGAAGGCGGCUACCUGGACCAGCACUGACACUGAAGCACGAAAGCGUGGGGAGCAAACAGG